rnacentral:rRNA from 1 species
UACAGAGUCUCAAGCGUUGUUCGGAUUUCAUUUGGGCGUAAAGGGUGCGUAGGUGGCGCGCUAAGUCAGGUGUGAAAUUUUUCCGGAGCUUUAACUCCGAAACUGCAUUUGAUACUGGCGUGCUUUGGAGGACUGGAGAGGAGACUGGAAUUCAUGGUGUAGCAGUGAAAUGCGUAGAGAUCAUGAGGAAGACCAGUGGCGAAGGCGGGUCUCUGGACAGUUUCCUGACACUGAGGCACGAAGGCCAGGGGAGCAAACGGG